GAUGAACGCUGGCGGCGUGCUUAACACAUGCAAGUCGAACGGGAAACCUUUUAUUGAAGCUUCGGCAGAUUUAGCUGGUUUCUAGUGGCGGACGGGUGAGUAACGCGUGGGUAACCUGCCUUAUACAGGGGGAUAACAACCAGAAAUGGUUGCUAAUACCGCAUAAGCGCACAGGGCCGCAUGGUCCGGUGUGAGAAACUCCGGUGGUAUAAGAUGGACCCGCGUUGGAUUAGCUAGUUGGCAGGGUAACGGCCUACCAAGGCGACGAUCCAUAGCCGGCCUGAGAGGGUGAACGGCCACAUUGGGACUGAGACACGGCCCAGACUCCUACGGGAGGCAGCAGUGGGGAAUAUUGCGCAAUGGGGGAAACCCUGAUGCAGCGACGCCGCGUGAAGGAAGAAGUAUCUCGGUAUGUAAACUUCUAUCAGCAGGGAAGAUAGUGACGGUACCUGACUAAGAAGCCCCGGCUAACUACGUGCCAGCAGCCGCGGUAAUACGUAGGGGGCAAGCGUUAUCCGGAUUUACUGGGUGUAAAGGGAGCGUAGACGGACUGGCAAGUCUGAUGUGAAAGGCGGGGGCUCAACCCCUGGACUGCAUUGGAAACUGUUAGUCUUGAGUGCCGGAGAGGUAAGCGGAAUUCCUAGUGUAGCGGUGAAAUGCGUAGAUAUUAGGAGGAACACCAGUGGCGAAGGCGGCUUACUGGACGGUAACUGACGUUGAGGCUCGAAAGC
rnacentral:rRNA from 1 species